GUCGAGCGGACAGAAGGGAGCUUGCUCCCGGAAGUCAGCGGCGGACGGGUGAGUAACACGUAGGUAACCUGCCCCUUAGACUGGGAUAACUCCGGGAAACCGGAGCUAAUACGGGAUAAUAAAGAGAAUCACCUGAUUCUCUUUUGAAAGACGGUUUCGGCUGUCACUAAGGGAUGGGCCUGCGGCGCAUUAGCUAGUUGGUAAGGUAACGGCUUACCAAGGCGACGAUGCGUAGCCGACCUGAGAGGGUGAUCGGCCACACUGGGACUGAGACACGGCCCAGACUCCUACGGGAGGCAGCAGUAGGGAAUCUUCCGCAAUGGACGAAAGUCUGACGGAGCAACGCCGCGUGAGUGAGGAAGGCCUUCGGGUCGUAAAGCUCUGUUGUGAGGGAAGAACAAGUACCGGCGUAACUACCGGUACCUUGACGGUACCUCACCAGAAAGCCACGGCUAACUACGUGCCAGCAGCCGCGGUAAUACGUAGGUGGCAAGCGUUGUCCGGAAUUAUUGGGCGUAAAGCGCGCGCAGGCGGCUUCUUAAGUCUGAUGUGAAAUCUCGGGGCUCAACCCCGAGCGGCCAUUGGAAACUGGGAAGCUUGAGUGCAGAAGAGGAGAGUGGAAUUCCACGUGUAGCGGUGAAAUGCGUAGAUAUGUGGAGGAACACCAGUGGCGAAGGCGACUCUCUGGUCUGUAACUGACGCUGAGGCGCGAAAGCGUGGGGAGCAAACAGGAUUAGAUACCCUGGUAGUCCACGCCGUAAACGAUGAGUGCUAGGUGUUAGGGGUUUCGAUGCCCGUAGUGCCGAAGUAA
rnacentral:rRNA from 2 species